AACGAACGCUGGCGGCAGGCCUAACACAUGCAAGUCGAACGCCCUAGCAAUAGGGAGUGGCAGACGGGUGAGUAACGCGUGGGAACCUUCCCAUUGGUACGGAAUAGCCCAGGGAAACUUGGAGUAAUACCGUAUAAGCCCGAAAGGGGAAAGAUUUAUCGCCGAUGGAUGGGCCCGCGUAGGAUUAGCUAGUUGGUGAGGUAACGGCUCACCAAGGCGACGAUCCUUAGCUGGUCUGAGAGGACGAUCAGCCACACUGGGACUGAGACACGGCCCAGACUCCUACGGGAGGCAGCAGUGGGGAAUAUUGGACAAUGGGCGCAAGCCUGAUCCAGCCAUGCCGCGUGAGUGACGAAGGCCUUCGGGUUGUAAAGCUCUUUCACCGAUGAAGAUAAUGACGGUAGUCGGAGAAGAAGCCCCGGCUAACUUCGUGCCAGCCGCCGCCGUAAAAC
rnacentral:rRNA from 1 species